AGAAACUUAGGCUAAAUUUACACCUAGAGCCUUCAAAGCUUUCAAUAGAAGUUAAAAUCUUCUAGUUUCUG
rnacentral:tRNA from 1 species